rnacentral:rRNA from 1 species
GACGAACGCUGGCGGCGUGCUUAACACAUGCAAGUCGAACGAAGAGCGAUGGAAGCUUGCUUCUAUCAAUCUUAGUGGCGAACGGGUGAGUAACGCGUAAUCAACCUGCCCUUCAGAGGGGGACAACAGUUGGAAACGACUGCUAAUACCGCGUACGAUCUAACCUCGGCAUCGAGGAAAGAUGAAAGGUGGCCUCUAUGUAUAAGCUAUCACUGAAGGAGGGGAUUGCGUCUGAUUAGCUAGUUGGAGGGGUAACGGCCCACCAAGGCGAUGAUCAGUAGCCGGUCUGAGAGGAUGAACGGCCACAUUGGGACUGAGACACGGCCCAGACUCCUACGGGAGGCAGCAGUGGGGAAUCUUCCGCAAUGGACGAAAGUCUGACGGAGCAACGCCGCGUGAGUGAUGACGGCCUUCGGGUUGUAAAGCUCUGUUAAUCGGGACGAAAGGCCUUCUUGCGAAUAGUGAGAAGGAUUGACGGUACCGGAAUAGAAAGCCACGGCUAACUACGUG